GCGGUUCUCCAGCGGUUUAGUAAGCCAUUGCCAUGCUAGUGAACAAUAUUUGACGUUUGAACGAAAUUGGUUGAGCUUGCAAUGCCAUGGGUAAUUUCCAAUUUCGGAAAAACCGUUGGUUCAGUCCUAGUUGCAAGAAUCUCCACUGAAUGAUGCCAGAAUCACCCCUGUGAAUGUCUGCUCACAGGUGGACAGUCAGACUGCUUGGAUACGAUGGCGGGGAGAAGCCUCUGCUACUCAAAGCCAUGCGGAAUUUUCAAGUCAUCCCUUAUCAUUAGAAACUUCUCCCCCACACGGAAUGAGAAUCUGCCUCAUCAUGAAUUCUGAUCCCCCGCAGGCCACACAGGAGCCACCGCAGCCCCACUUCAUCGUCCUCAGUGUUUGAAGAUGGCCAUCCUGACACCCCUGAGAAAUCUCCAGUGGAAACAACCUUAGUGUCCUUAACAGAUUUUCAUAGACUUGAUUUUCCAAUUCGUAAACCUCAUUGUCCUUUCCUUACCCUGGAGAUACUUCCCAUAGUCAGUAUCUCUUUUUUAGAAGUGCCCCUCUGAACUACAUGCAGUGUCCUAAAUGUGGACAGGUUGGUGGGGCUUCUCCUGUGUCUCUGUAAUGGUCAGGUAAGUGAUGUGACAUUGAUUCAGGGGCUUAGAGAAUACACAACGUUUCUUCUCUCCCAAGUAACUGUCCGGGGUGAGUGAUCCGGGUUGGCAGGGGUGCUGCUCUCUGCGGUCACUCAGGGGCCCCGGCCCCUUCCCACCGAGGCUCCGCCGUUCCAUGGGGCGGUUUGGUCCAAGCUGGCUCGCUGCCCAGUCCCGGAUGCUGCCAGUAAGAGAACAAAAGAGCAAGAGGAGGGGCGUGCCUGCCUCCGAAGGGUGCCAGCUCCCAGCACGGGCCGUCUGUCAGCGUGCCCUCGGAGCA